GCGGAUGUAGCUCAUCCGGUAGAGCGCCACCUUGCCAAGGUGGAGGUAGCGAGUUCGA
rnacentral:tRNA from 1 species